AGAAUCAACGCUGGCGGCGUGCCUAACACAUGCAAGUCGAACGAGAAAGUGGGAGCAAUCCCACGAGUAAAGUGGCGCACGGGUGAGUAACACGUGACUAAUCUACCCUCGAGUGGGGAAUAACUGAGAGAAAUCUUAGCUAAUACCGCAUAACACUUACGAGUCAAAGCAGCAAUGCGCUUGGGGAGGAGGUCGCGGCCGAUUAGCUAGUUGGCGGGGUAAUGGCCCACCAAGGGGAUGAUCGGUAUCCGGCCUGAGAGGGCGCACGGACACACUGGAACUGAAACACGGUCCAGACUCCUACGGGAGGCAGCAGUGGGGAAUUUUGCGCAAUGGGGGAAACCCUGACGCAGCAACGCCGCGUGGAGGAUGAAAUAUCUUGGUAUGUAAAACUCCUUUCGAUGGGGAAGAUUAUGACGGUACCCAUAGAAGAAGCCCCGGCUAACUUCGUGCCAGCAGCCG
rnacentral:rRNA from 1 species